rnacentral:tRNA from 1 species
UCCCACAUGGUCUAGCAGUUAGGAUUCCUGGUUUUUCACCUGGGUGACCUGGGUUUGACUCCCAGCAUGGGAA